rnacentral:lncRNA from 1 species
GGGAAUUUAGCUACUAUGACAUUUUCAGAAGUUGCAGAACAAAGUAAAAUAACAUUCCUUAGUGCUCUUAAAUAGUUCUUUAGUUGCUUGACCAGAAGAUGAGAAGUUUAUCAUGAAAACCUGCCACAGAUAAUAAAAGAAUAGAUAAAUUCUAAUGGUGUCACACCAAAGGCAAGCUAACUUCUCCCUCAAAUUACCCAGAGACAAUCAGUCAUCAAAAAAUAAUUGGUUUAACUGUGGGAUUUGGGAUGAAAUUUAAGUGUCUUAAACAUAUAUGACAAAGUAGCUGAUAAGCAUAGCUUAAACCAAAACCUACUUCAAUGGCCUAUCACUCACAAGCAACCAUAAAAAUAUGCAACUGGAACUGUUUUUCUUUUGUGUCUGGUUUAAGACAUAUCUUUCUUAUGAACUAAAAUAAUAACAAGAUCAUAAAACAAAAUUAGUAUGCACCAGUCCAGCUAUACCAAAGAUAUUUUGUCAGAAACAGAAUACUUAGCAUAUUCUUGACAUGAACUAAGUGCAAGGUCUCAUCUGACCUCAAAGAUUUAACAUUUGGAAGCAAUUAGAGGUUCCCUCUUUACUGCACGGUCUUGCUUAAUCAGCAAACUAAAAAGACAAUUAAUCUUUUUUUUUUUAAAGCCCCAUGCUACCAGUAAGUUCAUAUUCCAAUUCUAUCACUGCAAGUUUACACUUAAUAAGUAUACAGUAUGUUGAUUUUUGUUUAGGAGCAGUCUAUCAUGCUUGGCUCAGUAAAACAUGCUAAAAUUUAAGAUUAUGACAACCAUCUAUAGCCCAAUCUCAAAACUUAAAUAGUAAUCUAAUUUCAAGAGCAUGCAAGUCACUUAACUCUCUACAGCAGAAGCAAUGAUAAAUUUAAGAAGCCAAAAGCUGAAUUUUAGUGUCUAAUACUGGCAUCAUGGCUGGAGUAAGCAGAACAACAGGUUCCAUUUCUGUCUUCAAGCAGUGCCAGCAUAUGCAGCUUCCACUGCUCAGCUCACUCUUUGGAUAACCCUUAGCUAUGGCAGAAAGGAGUCAGAGGUUGCAUGGCUCUUGUAUAAUGAACCACAGGGAAAAUAAGCAUCCUAACAUUAAAGCCUCUCUGGAAAUAAACCUAUUAUUCCAGUCAAAUUCACUGCCUGACAUACUCCAUGUGGCCUCAUACAAUUGUGCUGCUACUGCAUCAGUUCAAAACUAGGAAGUAGCAAUUAGGGGCAGACGGGAGAUACUUAAAACUGAACUUAUCACUAAGACAAAAAUUUAGAAAUAUGUUAGCUGUCAAUCUGUCUAAAAGAACCUUAAUUGGAGUUAACAGAUAUAUAGGGAAAGAGUCUCUUAUCAAUCAUACCGUCUCACUAAAUAACAUCAAAGGAAGCUGGAGCUUCCAAAAAAUCAAUUGCUGAAUUGUUUUCAGUUUGACUCACUAGUUAAAAAAGCUUCUUAAUAUAAGCCUUGAAGGAUCAACACAGGAGUUCUGAACGCAAACUAAGACUUUUGAAUACUGACUCCAUUCCUGUAACUUUAACAAUAUGCUUCUAACAUACGCAUCCAAAGACUUAAAAUUCAGACACACCACUUAUUUUUCUACCAGAGGGAGGACUGAAGGAAUGGAGAAUUAGGAGCUUUCCCAUUUAUUGAAAAAGACGAAUAAGGGUGAAAAAAAAAUACCCAUAAAAGAAUUAGCCAAAAUAUGUCUGAUUUGCAUACAUUUACAUUAUUUCAUAAACUGAUGUGCAUUAUCUGAUGGAAUGGAAAAGAAUUAGCAAGCAGAAGAUCUGGAUACAGCCUACAGGAACUUAAGAGUAGCAGGUGAGGCAUAUUAACCCAUUCCAAAAAAGGAUUUGGUCAGUGAAAUUGGUUAAUACAUUCUGGAAGAGGAUAUACAUUGAAAAGAUGAAGCUAAAACCUCAUUAAUGAGCAGUUCUGCUGAAGAUGUAUUUAAACUUACUAUCUGCUUCAUUCUGAAAACCUGGGCCUGUGCAAUCAACAUGGUGUGCAGAAGCACAAACACUGUCUCUUCUUGCCAGGAAAUGGGGAGCGGUUUUAAGCAGCACAUUGAAAUCAGUCACUCAGAGUCAACUAUUGUAACAAAGAGGUGAAUGGUCAAAGACAAUCCACUGUAUAGGUGGUACAGUUUAAAAGAGGGUCUUCCUGCUGACAAGACUUCACCCAUUCUAGACUUCGUAAUGGUUCCACACUAAUGCAUCAAGAAAAAUUUCCUGAACAAGGUUCUGAAAAUAAUGCUGCAUGAAUUACACUUAAGAGUUAAUGAGAAACCCCAAAGCAGAGUGUUUAAUUAAACAUCAUCUUAGAAAUACAGGCAAAUCAGGGAGUUGCUUGAUACUUUAUAGGUGAAAUACUUUCUCAUUUAAUUAGGAAGACGUUUAUCUCUUGCAAAGCUGAAAAGGCCAGAAGACAGCAACAAUGAUGGGAUGCAGUCUCACAAACACUGUUAGAGUGCACAAGGUCAUACGCAUAUCUACAUGUAAAGGUACACUUUCUCUCACCAGGUAACCUUUCACUGUAAACAAAACUAAAAUGACAAACUACAGAAUCUAUUUUUCUGGAGUCUUUGAUACUCCACUGUCUCAUGCAUAGUAUUGCAGUAGAAAGCCUUUGAUUAAAACCCAGAAUUCCAUUUGUCAUUAGUGUGAAAUACGUGGAGCUGCUUCUCCAGCAACUUUUGCAUUCCUACUCCCCCUGCCACUUUUUUCAUGCACAGGAGGUGUAUAAGCAUUGCUACUAAAGCAGAUACAUUUUUCCAAUUGUCUCUUGUUACCAAGACUUGAAUCUAAAAUAUCACAUUAUUUUAUAAGAAUGGAACCUGAAAGAAGCUCUAACUCUCAGGAAAGAGAGAGUUACAAUAGCUUUUAUAGGUGGCUGGUGUGUACAAAAUGAGUGAACAGUAAGAAAGCACGUUACACUUUCACAUACACUGUUACAUAGGAAGUGAUACGAUUUAACACAGGCAAGAACCAAUUGCACAAAUCUGAUAAAUUCACCCUGCCACUAUUCCACACUGCUUGAUUAACAAUGAAGUAUGAAAGCAUUACCAUCUUGACUGACUUGCAUCACAGCUGUUCCAGCCCAAUUCAGUUUCUGCCACUGCUUUUCUAAGCACAUUUAGCAAGACUGGCACCAGCAUAGUCUUUAACAGCAAGACUGAAAGCAACUGAAGAGUCAAGUACCCCUUAUAGUUAUUGUCGUCAGAUCACAAACAGGAAACUCAUUUAAUGCUCUCAGCGCUACAAAAUACACAGGAUUCUUGAGAUUUUUUUUUGUUGUUGUUGUUUUUGUUUGUGUGUGUGUGUGUGUGUGGAAGAUAAACAAACACUGCUAAGACCCAAGACCACCUAUGGCUCUUGAAGUACUGUAGCUGAAAGUCUACAGCUGGAUUUCAAAAUCAUUUAUUUCUAGUCACCACCCACACGUGCAGAGCCAGGACUGGGAACCUAUUUCCAAACUUUUCUUAUUAGGCCAUGGCAAAUUUUAACUAGGAUGAAGGCUUUAUUCAAAGCAAAGAUCACAAGUUUAAUAUUUACUUUUCCAAUCUGAAGUGUUAUUAACAGCAGUAAGGGAAGUGUUGCCAAGUCUACCUAGUCUAUCUUAUUAAGAAACAAAAAGCUAGAGACAGCUCUUGCAACUAUCAGCUUCAAGUCUUUUCCAAACAUUUUUCCCCCUCACUUUUAAAUUCCACAAGAUUUCAGUAAAAUAUUUUUUCUAAAUUAGAUUUAGAUGACUUGAAAAAGGUAAGGACAAAAGUAUUAUAUAUCCUGGCAAUAAUCAGUUGGGCCCCUACUACUACAACAGAAGUUCAUCUUAGUAAAAUCUGAAAAACCUUCUGAAUCAAUUCUAGAAGACAUCAUGCACAGCAUAGUGAAGAAUAAGGUAGAAUAAACAAUGGUUUUAUAUCCUGGAGUGUAAAUGAAAACUACUAAAAUAAAACAAAGGUUGGCUCAAGCUCUCAAAACAUUAAUCUGAAACUACAAGCCAUCCUGACCACCUUGUUUAGUGCACUUCAAACAAAGUCAUCGGUAAUCAAGUCUGUUAGACUGCUUGAGAAAUAAAAUCUGCAAUUAGACUUUGCUCCACUGCUGUGUCAAAAUGUGCCGGUCUGAAAGAAAUGCAGAUUUGCUUCUACUGACUGAAUACAACUGCACUGAGAUUUGCAUAGUAAUCCUAGAGAUCGUUUACAGAGUCGUGGAUGAACAGCCCAAGUCAAACAUCAAGUCUGAUAUCAGGUCAAAGGACACAUCAAACAGUGGAAUUUUCCAGCCUUUUUAACAUGGAACACAGACCUCAUAAGCCCUUCCUAACAACGCUACAAGACCUGUUAAUAGCUUUAUUAUAAAACCUCUAUUAUGGAAGUUUCAGCCUUCUGCCAACCUCUGUAUGAAUGCAACAAAAAACUCCUCUCAUUCAUAUGGUACCUUCUGAUCAACACUCCAAAUCUGCUUUGCUGUACACAAAGGUACACCCUUAAAAAACAAAGGGUAUGGAAAACAGUGUUCUAUCCAACCAUUAAUUCAGCAGUAGCUUCCUUCCCCAUGGCAACUUGCACAUUUUCUUUCCAAUUCUAGGCGAACCUCAGUCACAUAAUGGACUUUUUCAUUUACAAAAUUGAAUUUUUAAUAAUUUGUCCUUUAUAAAAUUACAGGAAAUUUAAGACAAUCUAUUAAACUUAUAUUAAUGCAGUAAUUUAAUAGUGAUGUGGAUUUCUGUGGGCAUUUAGCAACUGAAGAACAAUGGCCUACUCUGAUAAAUAGGGAGAUUCACAUCAAUAAUUCUGUGAACGCUGCCAUGCAUAUGGUACAAACAUGCCAUAUAUGGUAAAAACUUAAGCAUGUAGCUGCAGUUAAUCAGAUGAUAUUUACCAUGGGUGAAGAGACAAAGGUCUUCAGUUACGUCCUACCUGGACUUGUGGCACUCUGCCCUGUGCCACCGUUUGAACAGUUGCCAGAAAUAUCCCAGUAACAUCAUCAACGAAUAAAAUGUUUGCUUCUCCAAACUCAAUCAAAUUGCUUCAUGUUUGCAGUGAUCUCGGUAAGCAACAAUAGGGAAAGCAAGGAACUACUUGAAGCAUUUCCACUAAGUCUUAAAAGGGAUAAGGAUGUCUCAGAGUACAAAGAAAAACAGUUUUCUCCACGGAAAAAAAAAAGUAUCAGUCUUGAUUCAUCAGGGACAAGGGCAUAUCCUGUGCCAGCAAGCUCAGCUCUGCUGCACUGAAGCCAUUCUGCUCCAUUUACUAGAGUACAUUGGCUUACAUAAGUGCAUACUAAAUACAGAAAGGAAGAGUUCUACAGUUUGAACCUGAAGAACACUAUUGUAUUACUGUGCCUACAGUGUUAAAACUUGCAGAUUUAGGAGCAAAAGCAGUAGCUGUAGAAAAGGAAAUACAAGGCAACUUAUUUAAGAACACACCAAGACAAGCACACAGAACAGAGAUAACGUGCUACUCAGAAUAAAAGCAAGCAUUGUAAAACACAAGCAUAACAGAUAAACCUGUUCUUCUGAGCUGUAAUUUGUGCUACUGUAACUAGCAUUAAAAAGACUACCAGAUAUCAACACUUACCUUACUCCUAUAAGUAAUGCUAUCAGCAUUGAACAAAUAGGAUCUGCUAUCAUUAGACCAUAGUUCUGCAUCAAUAUAGCAGAUAUGAUUACACCAAUACUUCCAAGUGUGUCUGCAACAAUGUGUAGAAAUACACCUGUAAGAGAUUAAUUAACAUCAAUUUAGCUUGGUAUUCUUAAAGCUAAUUGAAUUAUUUCAAAGAUUCUUUGAGAAGGAGAGUUGCAAGACAUAGGUAACAUGAUUUAUACUUGUUACGUUCUGCAUCAAUUUUUGGUCAAAUACAUAAAGAGCAAUCACAGGGUUUCAAUAUAUCCUUACAAUAUAAAGCACUUGCAGAAAUUAUAUUAUCUUCUGCACAUAGCAUGAAGGGGUAUUUCACGGCAUGCCUAUCAACUUCUGCAGUGAGCUACAGCUAACAUUUUUCAUUCAGUACUCACCUACAUUAUAGCAAAGAAAUUCAUAUCAACAAAAAUAGACCAGUAAGGCUUUGAAAGAUGCUUGUUUCAUUGACAGUAGAAGCUGCUUAGCAAAGAGACUGAAGACAAGUGAUUUUGAGAAUUACUUAUUUACUGCAGAAAUGUACAAGUUCACUGUUAUUUUGAAGAACGCACAAGGUAAAGAGGAGGAAUCAAACUUUGCAGCUAGUCAAAAAUCAGUCUUUGGCGCUCCCUGCUGGCAAUAACAGGAAUAGUCAUUCAGAAACAGCUUGCUGAAUAUAUUUAUCAGGACCAUGAUAUUCCGCCCUCACAAAAAAUAACUCACAACAAUAAAUGAGCAUUCUACCAGUUUUCUUAAGCCUUCUUUGUGCUGGGCCUGUAGAUAAUUCCCUUCAUAGCAGCCCACAGAGUGCCAGGCAUCAGGUUUGUGACUGUUUGUUACUUACCAACAUUUUAGCUAUUGCUGAAUGAUCCUUAUACAGCAUCAAGGCCUUCUCUGUUUCUCACUCUGCCCCCAUGCAAGCAGGCAGGGGCUCAGCAUAAUGCUGGAAGGGGACACAGCCAGGACAGCUGACCCAGACCAGCCAGAGAUAUGUUCCAUUCUAUGAAAUAUCGUGCUCAAUAACUAAACAGAAUCUUUCAAAAGCAGUUGUUGGCUGGGAGACAGCAAGUGAUUGCCUUUGUACCAAACUCUGUUUCCUAUUUUUUUCUUUAUUAAAUUGUCUAUAUCACAUUCCAAACAUAUUUCUUGUCUGUACUCUUUUGAUCUUCUCGCCAUCAUUGCUGCAGGGAAGGGGAGGUGGUUGCUUGGGUGGUGGACAGAGCGAACUCAGAAGAAUACUGAAAAGUUGAAGUACUCUUUUUUUUAAUCAUGAUUCAGUUAAAACAUGCCUUUUACUUGGAAGUCAGUAGAUCAGUCUUCUCAUAUCUGUCUUGAAGUAUAUAUACACACAAUGGUGAAGAUAUAAGCACUGGAAGAAGUGGAAAAUGUUCCCUUGGAAGGACUUGUAAGAUCUGCUUGCUAGAACCAGUCAUCCCCUCAAGACAAU